rnacentral:rRNA from 1 species
GACGAACCGUGCGAACGUUAUUCGGAAUCACUGGGCCUAUAGCGCGUGUAGGCGGCCCGGCACGUCUCUGGCUGAAAUCCCCCGGCUCAACCGGGGAAGGGGCCGGGAUGCGACCGGGCUGGAGGGGGGUAGGGGGGACGGGAACUCCGGGUGGAGCGGUGAAAUGCGUUGAGAUCCGGAGGAACGCCCGCGGCGAAAGCGCGUCCCUGGACCCCGCCUGACGCUGAGACGCGAAAGCCAGGGGAGCGAACGGG